ACUGGCAACAUCAGAAAAGCGGACUACCUUUCCCAGCUAGAAUAGUUCUAUGAAAAUCUUUUGUAUAAUGUACAAAUGACAAAAGAGUAACUAUAAAUAGUUCCAAACACCAUUGAAAAACUGAAAUACAUGUAUUGUUCUUUGGUAAUUUAACGAGUAGUGUGAAGCUGGAAGCACAAUGCUCACUAACCAGGGAUAUCCAUAAUCUGAAGACAUUUGAUCUUCAGCUCAUUGAGGAUAAACGUGGGAAGAAGAAGGGUUGCUGUAGAGCUCAUUCAGUGUAUCCUUGCUUACUCAAGAGACAACGUGGUGACCUUCACACAUACUACCCAGAGGGCCCUAAAUUUCAGAGACACAGAAGUCAAGUCAGAGAACCUGGCAUAGGAACCAGAAGGCAAAUAUCUUUCUACUCCUUUGACCCAACCAGUUUGGGAGGGUGAGUUUUAGAGGAAGGACACUGGAGGGUUGGAUUAUGCAUUGUCCUUACCAAAAUAUCUCAUUUCAACACAGGCAUCCAAGCUCUCAUGGUGGGGGGUUCUGCCACACUGUCCCCCAGUUCCCUCUGUUGUUUCUAUUCACACACUCAGCAUUAGAGUGUGGUAA